GGUGACUGCAACCUUGAAAGCAAGACCUGCUGGAAAAUCACAGCAGGACUAUAUAUGGCCCAGUCUAUGAGAGGCCAGACCUGUUGUAGGACUCUCCGCUAGGAAAGCCAGGGAAGGAGCUGCUUGGGAUUUCUCCAGAUGCCAAACUGUAUGGGGCUCGUUAAUAGCGCUGCUGAUAGCCUGCACUCUUGACAUAGCGGAUAAUGAAAAAUCGCCAAGGACGGGCACGUGAAAAAACAGGCGGAGACAAUAAAGGCAUAUUUACAUAAAAGGUGAACAAAGCCAUCAGCCUAGCAAGUGGGGGAG